ACCAAAAUUCCAUGCUAACAGAAUGUUCUCUCUCUAAUCUCGCUGAAUCUUUUUCCAGCGCAGCAAAUCUGGAAACGUUUGAAAAUUCCUCUGUGAUUUUUUCUUUUUGGUUGUGAUUGUCGGCCUGAUUUCGCCCAGCUUUGCGCUCUACAAUCAUCCAUGGGCCGAACGCUUCCUCUGAUGUUGCCGGAGCAGACCCUUUAGCCACCGUCUCAGAAACUCCCCCUAGACCGCCAUCGGUGUUCCGACCUGUCAAAGAAAAAGGGCAAAGAUUUUUUAGAUGUACGUAUCUGCCACAUGUAAAACAAACCGCAGGAAUCCCUACAAUCCUGGAAAAUGGAUCCAGGUCAGAACCAUGCUUGGGAAGGGCCUCGACGGAUUAAAGUCCACCAUCCACGGCUAGACUGUUAGGUAGCGACGAACACUAUCCAUGGUCCUUGAGUCAAAGCCAUUUCUUAAUCAUUCUUGUUUUGAAAACGGACCAAAUAGUAACCAUUUUCCAUGUCCAUUAAGCGAAAGGGUUGAGAGGGUUUCCAAUGGCUGGUAAUCUGGUUGAACAGAACACCAUACCCUAUAUUGCGCCCCAACAAUUUCACGAUAGCCGUGGUCUCCAUAUCUUUAACUAAGACUUUUUUAAUCCGCUUAGAGAAGUCAAUGGUUGGAAUACCAUUGAUGAUAGAUCUUAGGAUGUCUCCUUCUUCAAACUUUAAAUCCACGUCAGUAGAACCAUCCGAUAUCAUGUAGCAGUCUAAGGACCCCGUGCCUUUCCUUUCCCACAAUUUGUCCUUCCAAGAAAUUUUGCUCACCGGAGCCGUAUCAACCACCAUGUUUGCUGCUGCAUUUUCUCCUACAUCUUUGAAUCUAACUUUCUUUGUGUUACGAUCCUCGUUAGAACCAUCGCUGGAAUAAAAUCGUAGGGUUGUUCAUCGCUGGAA